rnacentral:rRNA from 1 species
CCGCGGUCAUACGGAGGAUCCAAGCGUUAUCCGGAAUUACUGGGCGUAAAGCGUGCGUAGGUGGUCCGUUAAGUCUGAUGUGAAAGCCCUGGGCUCAACCUGGGAAUGGCAUUGGAUACUGGCGGGCUAGAGUGCGGUAGAGGGCAGUGGAAUUCCCGGUGUAGCAGUGAAAUGCGUAGAGAUCGGGAGGAACAUCUGUGGCGAAGGCGACUGCCUGGACCAGCACUGACACUGAGGCACGAAAGCGUGGGGAGCAAACAGG